GAAUUACGAACUACAGUGGUUUCCGGCGACAACUUUCAGCGCGCGUACAUGCAGAUAAAUCGGAAGUACGCCACAAAUUUCGAAGAAAAAAAGUUAUAGGGGGUUGGAACGACAUGAGGAUGCCUUCCUUUAAUGCAGAGCCAUUGUUUAACUUUCCAACACAUGAGGAAACGAAGCAGAUGGAGCUUUCAAAAGAAUUAAUAUUUUGAAAAUAAUAGGGACACCUAUUUACAUUUAUGUUCACUCCCAGUUUGCCAUGUCAGCAGGUCUGUGUCUCAUCAGACUCACACCACAGCUAAUCUAAUAAAAAAUGGCAUUUCACCUAGCAGUUUUAUUGCACUCAUUAAACAUGAAUAUUAUCUUCUCCACUGAUAUUUUCACUGCAUACAGUGCUGGCAUUAAAUACAGAGAUGGGUAAUUAAUUUCUAAUUGCCACAUUGCAUAAAUGUGUUUUAUGGAAACGUUGUGCUCUUGAAAUUGUCCAGAUAUUUUAAGAGUUAAGCAAGUCAGGAUUUCACAAUGUUUGUUUCUUUUCCUGGGGUGUAAGAACAAGUCAGUGACAUAUUUCUCUCAUAUUUUACAGAAGAUAACACUUCUGAAUUAUUAAGGGAUUUAUCAUUUGUUUGUCUUUUUGCGAAUACAUGGUUUAAGACGCUGAACAUCUAACCUCAGCGUUUCGAAGUCCUGUGUGGAGGAGUUCUGUCUGCCCACAAAAAUGGUAAAGUAAUCCAGCCCUCUUUCACAAUCCCAUCUCAAAGACACAAGGCCUUUGUUUCUCAGGAAAGACAAACCACAUUACUGUUUUGUGUAUUCAGCAUAUUGUAAUGCGUCAAGAAGUACAGAAGUGGAUCUAGAAAUACCUG